rnacentral:rRNA from 1 species
UACGUAGGUGGCUAGCGUUGUCCGGAUUUACUGGGCGUAAAGAGCGCGCAGGCGGUCGUUCAAGUCGAGUGUGAAAGCCCCCGGCUCAACUGGGGAGGGUCACUCGAUACUGAUCGACUUGAAGGCGGGAGAGGGAAGCGGAAUUCCCGGUGUAGUGGUGAAAUGCGUGAGAUAUCGGGAGGAACACCAGUGGCGAAGGCGGCUUUCUGGCCCG